CUGGGGACAUACUACAGGAGAGGGUCAGAGACUGGGGACAUACUACAGGAGAUGGGGGUCAGAGACUGAGGACCCACUACAGGCAGGGGGUCAGAGACUGAGGACAUACUACAGGAGGGAGGUCAGAGACUGAGGACAUACUACAGGAGGGAGGUCA